ensembl:lncRNA
UUUGGCUAAGUCCACACACAAAUUCUUUUUACACAUACAAAACUGAUUUACAAGUACAAAAUAUUUAUGACCACAUUUUGAGCCCAUAUCCUGUGUACUGUUUGUUUGUAUAUGUGUCUUUUUGGCUGCUGUUACAACCAAAUUUCCCCUUGUGAGACAAUUAAAGGAUUAUUCUAUUCGAUUAUUGUAUUCUAUUCUAUGCACACACACGCACGCACACACACACACACGCGCACACACACGCACACACACACACACACAUGCACAUAUGCACACACACACACACACACACACACACACACACACACACACACACACGCACACAUGCACACGCACACACACACACGCACACACACACACGCACACACGCACACAUGCACACAUGCACACAAGCACACAUGCACAUAUGCACACACGCACACGCACACAUGCACAGGCACACACACAUGCACACACACACACACACACACACACACGCACAUGCACACACACACACGCACACACACACACACACAUGCACACACGCACACACGCGCACGCACACAUGCACACAUGCACAUAUGCACACACGCACACAUGCACACACACACACACAUGCACACACGCACACAAAGUAACUUUUGUACAAUACUCAGUAUUUUGCACAUUUCCAUGUCUUGUGUCUGUGUUGUCCUGUUCUGUCUGGAGUUUCACUGGCUUUUCUUGUUUUGCAGUUUUUGCACAUUACACUUUCUGUAGUCCUGUGUUUGUCUGUCAUAUGUAGCACCAGGGUCUCGGAGAAACGUCCCUUGUUAGCCCUACCUGUUGACCCCUGACCCCUGUACGGUCCCUGUAACUGGUCCCCAGAAUCGUGAGUAGAAGAAGGUGUGGAUCCCUGUAUCAUAGCUCCAAUGACGAUGACUUUUUAAAGCCAUCGCACACACAGUUAAGACAGGCUGAAGUUUCUUUAACUGGAAACUCUAUCGGCUUUCUGGAACAGGAUUAAGAUUCAUUUUUUCCUAAGUUUCUUUAUUGAUUAGUCUUUUCAGUAAUAAUUCAUGUAAAUGUUGUCUCAUUAAUUUGAGAAGAAAGAGAACACAUAGACCAUAUUAAUAAUAACAGUAAGACUUACAUUGUUUCUGACCUGCUCCCGAAGCAUCCGUGCCUCUUUUCCUACAUCACCUUGAUUUUUACAGGUGGCCUGGGCAACAGCGUGGAAGAGGCAGUUCUGAUCUUCUGAAUUUACUGGCAUCGCGGUUCCAUCUGGUCUCAGGAUUUCAAAAUGACCACUGCACGGGCUCUGUUCACCACGAAUCCAUUUAGUUCUCUUUGAGAAGAACCCCCUCGUCCUGUAAAAAAUACAUGAAUAAACCAAAAAAAAAAACAAAUCAGUCACUCUGGACAAAAAAGGGAAAAGGUGAGACUAACAAAUCUCCCUGCAAAUAUAAGUAGUCCAUAACAUUUGUUUAUUAUAUAAACAAAUGUAUAUUAUAUCCUGUACAUAGCCUGUACUCACUACAGCUUGUACAUACUUAUAGUUAUAGAAUAUUCAUAACAUACUUCAUACCGUGUACAUUAUAACAUACCAUAAUAGACCCAUUUCUGUAAUAUACUUACAUAUCUAUAUUAUUGCUAAUAUAUAUUGUAAUAUAUCUAUAUCACGGCUAAAGCACUUUCUGGAUGGAUGCAAACUGCAUUUCGUUGCCCUGUACCUGUGCAUGUGCAAUGACAAUAGUUGAAUUCUAUUCUAUUCUAUUCUAUUAUUACUUUAAAAUUUAUUUAAGAGUUUUGAUUGGGACCAAUAAUUAUGUUGUUGUACAUAAAAUCUGUCAUGUAAGUUGUGUCCACCAGUGAAGCUGUUGGAAUAAUACUGAUGAAGAAGCAUAAGGAAAACGAAUGUUGGAAAUAAUGUAUAUAAUCAGAUUAAACUAUAACAGUAAAGGAAGUCAAUUCAAUUUUGUUUUACAUAUCACCAAACCACAACACCCAGUGCAUCAUGGGAAUCCCCCAGCAGCCUACACCUAAUGCAGUAAAACUAAGGGAGGAUUCAGGGUCACCUGAUCCAGCCCUAACUAUAUGCUUUAGCAAAAAGGAAAGUUUUAAGCCUAAUCUUGAAAGUAGAGAUAGUGUCUGUCUCCUGAAUCCAAAUGUAUGCUAUGUCUUAUAAUGUAAUAUAAUGUAAACAGAAUUGGUCCUAGCACUGAACCCUGUGGAACACCAUAAUUGACCUUAGUGGGUGAAGAGGACUCUCCAUUUACAUGUACAAAUUGGAGUCUAUUAGAUAGAUAUGAUACAAACCACUGCAGUACAGUACCUGUAAUACCUACAGCAUGUUCUAAUCGCUCUAAUAGGAUAUUAUGGUCGACAGUAUCGAACGCUGCACUGAGGUCUAGCAGGACAAGCACAGAGAUGAGUCCACUGUCAGAGGCCAUAAGAAGAUCAUUUGUAACCUUCACUAAAGCUGUUUCUGUGCUGUGAUGAGCUCUGAAACCUGACUGACACUCUUCAAAUAAGCCAUUCCUCUGCAGAUGAUCUGUUAGCUGUUUGACAACUACUCUUUCAAGGAUGUUUGAUAUGAAAGGAAGGUUGGAGAUUGGCCUAUAAUUAGCUAAGACAGCUGGGUCUAGAGAUGCUUUUUAAGUAAAGGUUUAACUACAGCCAGCUUGAAGGCCUGUGGUACAUAGCCGAUUAUUAGAGAUAGGUUGAUCAUAUUUAAGAUUGAAGCAUUAAUUAAUGGCAGGACUUCUUUGAGCAGUUUUGUAGGAAUGGGGUCUAAAAGACACGUUGAUGGUUUGGAGGAAGUAAUUAUUGAAGUUAACUCAGAAAGAUCAAUUGGAGAAAAAGAGUCUAACUGAACAUCGAUGGCACUAAAAGUAGCUGUAGAUAAUAUUACAUCUGUGGGAUGAUUAUUGGUAAUUUUUUCUUUAAUGAUUAAAAUUUUAUUUGUGAAGAAGUUCAUGAAGUCAUUACUAGUUAACGUUAAAGGGAUUGUUGGCUCAGUAGAGCUCUGACUGUUUGUCAGCCUGGCUACAGUGCUGAAGAGAAACCUGGGGUUGUUCUUAUUUUCUUCAAUCAGUGAUGAAUAGUAAGAUGUUCUGGCUUUGCGGAGGGCUUUCUUAUAAAGCAGCAAACUAUUUCUCCAGGCUAAAUGAUGAUUGUUACACACCAUUUCAAUAUUAACUGAAGUGACAUCCGAUUAAUGUAACCGGGUGUCAUUAUUGACCCUGUGCACGAGAAAAUGCUAACUUCCUGGUUUGAGACCGGAUGUGGGGUUGUACAUUUCCGGUAGCUUUACUUUGUGGUCAAUUGCUACUGCGAAGAUAUUCUCCAAAAUCAUGUCCAAAACUCGAAAACGGAAAGAUCGCGUUAAGUUACAAAGAGGAGAAGGUGGGAACACUCACCACUGUUGUGUCAUAAAAAAUCUAAUGAUCAAUUUUGACGUUUAAAGAGUUUAGAUCGAUCAGUUGUUUACAUCGUCCACAUUCAGAAGCACAUCUCUGUAUAGUGACAGUUCCUAUGAUUUAAACAGGCAAAUGUUCAGCAUUCAAACUACAGGUGAACAAUAGUCAGACCAGAUGUUUCCCCGUUAUGUCGAUAUCAGCUAGUCAAGUCCACACCUACACAGCAUGUUAACAAACCAUGAAAAAAAGCCACACAAAAAAAUGAAUGAUUGCUGGUAAGGGUUUCUCUACAUUAGUAUUUACGAAGGGUGUGUUGUGACUUACCUUCAAAAUUACAGUGGUCCCUCGCUAUAACGCAGUUCACCUUUCACCUCGCUGUUUCGCACAUUUUUUAGUGCAAGUUUGCAUGCUUUUUUUUUUUUACAUCACAUUAUGUCCUGCGUCCUGAUCGCUGCAGACGAUCUCCUCCGUGACGUCUCUCCUGUACAGUACAGAAUCGCUGCAUCGAUCGCUAGCAGUGUGACUCUGAAGUGCAGUACUGGAUGUCCACGAUGUCCACGCAUCAAAAAAUAAAAUUGGCUACUUGAUUUCACCCAUCGCUGGUUAUUUUUAGAACAUAACACCCGCCAUAAACGAGGGACAGCUGAGAAAUAUAACAUUUGAAUCCCUUUUCUCUUUUGCCCUGAGGUGCGGGGGAAAAAUAUCGACAAGUCGAUGAACAUCAUUUACAGUUAUAUUGGGUAAAUGCCCAAGACAUCUAUAGAAAUGUAAAUCGCCGCUUGAUUCAUUCAUUUGCUUAACUUGUGUUGGACCGUAAACAAGGCGCGAAUAGGACACCGGAAACAAAGCUCCCCACAGGCGUUUCCACACCGGAAGUAGCAUAUGCUAACGUGCGCAUAGUCAAUUGCAGAUUGUAAUUAUAAUUUUACCAAAUCUACAUUUUUCCUUUCCCAGCAAUUUCAGGGUUCCUUCAGUGUCGCCUGCCUUCGCCUCUGACAGUUGACUAUGGCUGCUGGAGUCUCUAGCUUCACAUUUCUCAAAACAGAAUCACCAAUAAAAGUGGCGAAAAACUAAGUGAGAGAUCAACAGGUGGUGUACCGGGGUGUUCUGUUUAGAGCUACACUUCCUCCUCACCAUCACCCAGCCAGCCUUCUUUCUUGUUGCUCAGGACUAUCUGCUGAGGAAGAGCUAAGGGUAGCAAAGCUAGCGUUGCCUGCACUAACUACUAACUAUCUAUGCCAUUUUCCAGAGUCCAGAGCUGGUUUUCCAUUCACUGAGCCUGGCCUCCAGAAGUGCAAUCAGGCAACAUUUCUUUCCAGUAUCUGUGCUAAACAGAGCUGAGGAGAAACUAAAUAUUUGAGAAGGAACUAAUGGGUCAGCUACAAGCUAAGCUAAUAGCUACGCUAAAGACACUCAUUGGGUCUUUAGUGUGGGCGACUCAGCAGAAAGCGUGCUUUGGAUAAAUCACAUGAAGAUUACAGUUUGAAAUAAGUCUUUAUCUGAAGGUCUAUAAUUAAACAAGUUACACAUGUUAACAAAACACUGUCAUGGUCCUGGGUCAUGUGACCCAGUGUUUUGAGUUUUAGUUUAUUUGGAUGUUUAUUGUUUGUUUAGGUUCAUUAAGUUAUCCCAGCUCAUUUGUAAUUCGAUUACCCUUGUGUUUAGUUUCUCUUGCCCUUCAUGUGUGUUAUGUCCGUGUGUCUUAUGUUGUCAAGUUCUUGUAGUCAUUUCUGCCAUCUUCCCCUGUACUCAGUCUCCCUGGUUCUGCGUCUACGUUUCAUGUCUAUGCAGUUAUGUUAAGUUCAUGCCAUGUUUCAUUUCCAUGUCUAUGUCUGCGUGUUUCCUGUUUUAUUUUGGAAGAGUCUGGUGUUCUUUGUUCAUUGUAGUUAGUGUUACACUCCCCUGUAUUGUCAUUAUGUUCCAUUCUAGUCAGCUGUGUUCUCAUGUGUCUCCACUUCCCCUGAUCGCCUCAUGUGUGUAUUUAGUCCUCAGUCUUGCUGUGUUCAGUGUCGCGUCGUCUGUGUUCCCAGCCUCCAUGUUCUCGCAGCCAGUCUGUACAAUCAUCGCCAUGGUUUUCUGAGUCUCCUUAGUUUAUCAGUAUCUGUUUCCCAGUUUAGUUUAGGUUCUGUUAGUCACGCUGUUUCUGCUUUGUUGUGAGACCUGUCAUCAGCCACAAUAAAGGCUCGCUUUCAGUUAAGUUUACUCCAGCCUACUCUUGUGUGUUCGCACCUGGGUCCACCACACACACCACCGCACGGUCUGUCCCCUCAGAUCGUGACAACACUACUGUGCACUGUGUUAGGAACAGGAAGUGAUACGAGAAUGCCAGAAAAAAAUAAAAACUGGGAGGGUACAGGAAAAUAACUGAGUCCUUACCAGUUCACAGCCAGCAAACCAACACAGGACAAGUCAUUAUAGUGGGACCACAAGAUGUCAGGAUGCCAGCUCUAUGUUAUUAUUCACCAUGACUGGUGUCAGUUCUAGCUGUUCAGUGGGUUUCUGAUUUGCCCUCAGACUAAACAACUACACAAGUUUGGGGAAAACAGUUUGUUAGUUUGUUUGUCCCCUGAUUAUCAGACAGGAGAAUAAUUAUUGUUAAGUUUUUAGAUAAAGUUUCUUUUCAACAUUGAUUGCAGUGUGUGAUCAUAAUAGGGUUGAUAUACUCCUCAUUAGAAGGAUACGAGCACUAACCCCACGGUGUGAAGGGUUAACUAAGAGGCACAAACAGAGUUGAGUGUUGACGGCAAAUUGCUACCUGCUCACAGAACACAGACAGGAAGGGUUGCUUGUAUGAUAACAGGGCGUUCCAGUGAACAAGAAAUAAACACUUAAUAGUGUUCCUUUAAGGCGGACAUCAGCAUGGAAAUAAAACAUCCCUGGUAAAAACUGUGAGGUAGGGAGUUUUCUCACACAGGACAAGAUCCCUGACUGGAGGUUAAUGACCGCUGCCAUGAGGAAGGACCCCGAGAAUAACAAAUCAGGGAGUGCUGAGCCUAAACCACGACAUCUCCCCAUCAAUAGGCAAUCACAAUUAUUUCCUGUUUCCAUGUGUCUAAUAUAUACUUUGAAUUAUGAAUUGUACUUCACUUCUCCAUGUACAGACUGCCUGACACUGAGAAGUCCACAGCUGUGCAAGCCCAAUUUUAACUGCCUGAUAAUAAAAGAGAGUAAACGGCUAGACUGUCUCCUGAACUUCUCUCAGCGAAGAAGAACCCCACAGUAUCAAAACCAAAGUCUGGAAAUUGGGAUGGGGAGGGUUACCCUUGCAAAACAGGUCAAAAUUAACUUUCUGGCCAAUAUGAGUUGGUCAAUUAAAAAAAAUAUUGUUUUGACUUAUUUAAAUGAGAGGCGCAAUAUCAAAUAUGUAUGUGUCACUCACUCUGUUGGAUUUUCUGGCUCCUUCUUCAGUUGGAGGACUAUAUCGCCUGCGGAGUCCUCCUUCCCAGGAAAAUAGUCUUCUGAAAGCUUCUUUCCAUCUUUGUCCACCAUAACCAGUUUGAUUCCUUUGCCUUCCAGAGCAUCACUCUGAGUGAGGACAUGGAUGUCCAAAGCUGUAGCAGGGCGGUUAACAUCAGAAAUGUCCUCUAUGUAGCACUCCAAGUCUUUCUUGUCAGACUCUGACAGGGACUCACGUGGACACUGGAUGACCUUUUUCAUGUUGUACUUAUACUCCUGGUUGUUAAAGAAACUUUGGGUGUCAGCCCUGCCAAGUAUGUUGCUAACAGCACCACCAACAGCAUGGUUUAUUUCACUUAUGCACAUUUUGCUCAUGAUGGAGGUCAUAUGCCUGGAACAGGCCUCAACAUAAGAGUUUGAAACCCUUUCUGCAAUCAUGUUGAUGAGUUCAUCUUUAAAGUGUUUCACAUCUGAUAAACUGUGCCUUUCUUUCAUUCCUUUCUUGAGGUAGUUUUUCCAUGCUUUGCAAGAGCUUAGGAACAAAAGUGUUGUUAAUGACUUUCUCUGUUGGUAUCGAAUUCCAUAUUUGUACAAAGACUGUGGCAUAUUUAGCUGCUUCCAAACCCAUUAGAAUAUUUUCUAUUCGAUCGGACCCUUUUUUGCUCUUUAUGUGUUGUGUUACAGCACCACAGACCGCUGAAAGUCCAUCAAGAGCCUUAAGAACCAUGGUACAAUUCAUCAUCAGGUCAGGAAUCACUUCUCUUGUUAUCAGAUCCACUGACUGAAGCAUUUCUUUCUCACACUCUUUGUGAAUUCUGAAUUCACUGGACCCAUUCUCCAGGAUAUUCUUUGGUAUUCCUGAGCAAAUGAAGCUUGUGAGAACUUCAUCCAGGUCAUGGUUGGCUUUUAUGAGUGAAAGCACCUUUUCCUCAAAGACUCUCCUCAGAACUUUUUGGAAAAAAGCAUUAAUUGCCUUCUCAGCAGUAUAACUCAGAGCACUGAGGCAUCCUUGCUUCCCCAGUUCCUGAACUGCAUACUUUCCUGCCUUCAGGAAACACUGUUUUACUGUGUAGGAACUAGUCUUUGCUCCUGCGAUCAGACCUUUUGUGCCACUACGCACUGCACUUGCAGCUUUCUUUAGUCGGCUGAAUCCACCAGAGAUCAGAGACAACCCAAUGCUGAUGGCCUUGGAGAUUGCCCAUUCAGCCCAGUCAAAGCCUCCUUGUAUCAUUCCUUUGAUCCCUUGAAUCAUGUCAGAUACCCCCUCACAGAUCAGUCCAAGUCCAAACUGACUGGCACCACCACAUGACAGAGCACAAACAAGAACACCUGCUGCAACUUGAAGGGCACCGAGAACAAAACAAGCAAGGGCAUCAUAGCAGAACUCGGGCUUCUUUUUAACCUCAAAGACUGUGCUAAGGCCAUUCUCAUAGAGCAUCAUCAGCUCAUUGGUGGUGAUUAAAUCUUUAUCUUUGGAAAGAUGGUACACACUGGAAUCCUCUACUUCUGCAUCACCUUUGCUGCCAUCGAGCUGUGUCAGGGCACUUUCAAUGUAUCUUUUCCAAGAUUUGAAGAUAGUCAUCCUGGCUUGCAUUUGGAUCUGGAGGUUGCUGUUUGUGUGGUGUGGAACAAAGCCACUCGUCACUGAAAAAUUACAAAACAUCAUCGUAUUUGUUGAUUCUGAGAGAUAGACAUCCACUGCAGACUGUGCUUCCUCCAAUAAUUCCUUUGCCUCAGCUAUGUAGUCUCCUUUUCUGAGGUUGAGUGUGAUGUAAGCUUGAUUAUAAAGUGCCACAGCACUGUAGAACUGAUCACACUCUGCAGCUCUCUGCCAGUAAGUCUUUGCUCCAAAGUCACAUUUAGUUUUGUUCAUGCAGUGCAGGUCAGUUCUGCUUGCUGCCUGUUUGAUGUAAUCAUAGAAAUUAUAGCUAGUCCCCUGCAGGAGGAGGUCACCAGUCUUCUUCAAGUCUUUGGUGAGGUCUUCUCUCAGCUUGCUGAUAUUGUCAUGUCUGCUGAUGUGCUCUUCAUGAAGGAUGAGCCACAAAGCCCAUGAUUCUUUCAAAGCAUCCAGUGCAGUCUGAUAGUCGAACUUGUUUUGAUGGAUCUUAAAAUAUUCAGGAACAUCCUUCAGCUUCAUCUUGGACAGGUCACUCCUUUCUUCCACCGUGUAAUUCUUGUCAAAGUUACAGAGAAACUGACAGAAACCGAAGAACAGAGUUUCCUUCAUGUCAAUUUCACAGAGUUCAUUUUUCUCCAUACUGUCUAAAUGUCUGAGCUCAUACUCCUCUCUGAGCUGUCUCAUGGUUUCGAUUGAAUGGCCUCGGUAGGCUUGUGCAAGAUGGCCCUGGUUGAGAACCAUCUGAACCAUCCCUGGGUUUCCUUUUCGGGCGGUGCGUCCAAAGACCUGUCGCUCCACACGGUGACUUCUAGGAAAGUAUGUGAGGAGCACAAAGAGACCUCCACACUCGUUUACGUCCUGCUGAACGUGUAUGUCUGUCCCACGGCCACCGAGGUUUGUAGCAAUGAUAAUGUUUCCCCGGCUAAAGUUCUGUUUCUCGAUGUUGUGCUUCUCGCUGAUUGGCUUGCCUUUCUGGAACAUGCAUGUUUGUCUUCAGCUCAUCUGCAGUUUUAACAUCUUCACAAAUGAUAAGAACAACUUGGCCUCUGUCUGCAGCUCUCUGUGUAGUUUCACAGAUCACCUGGAUCCACUGAGUGUUGCCUCCACUCACCUGAACUGCUGGCAACUCAACAAGCUUUUUAUGGCGGUGAGCUGGAAUGACAUAGCUUGCUGUUUUGUAAUGCCGUUCUAGAAAUACUUUCUCAGCUUGCCCCCCUAAUGUCCCAGAAACACCAAAAAUGCCUUUUCCAUUGAGGUACCUUUUAAAGAAAUGGACAUUUGACAUGUAAUUUGUUACAUUGGACAGCUGUGAAAUGGCCAGCUGGUGCUUCAUCUCCAGAAACUGUUGUAGGCCGUCACCCCAUCGCUUGUUUUUCUCCAACACCCCACUGGCCUCAAAGUCCACAGGAAUUAUGGCAUCAUACUGAUGACUGUCAGCAUCACUGAAACCACCUGCGUCAGCUUCAGGUGCUUUCUCAAUCAUGUACUCUCUUCCCUGAGUCAUUCUGAUGGCUUUUAAGGCGUUCUCGGCAAAAACUGGUAACUGAUUCUCAAUGUAUGUUUUCAAAAAAGAGGGGAUCACAAUAAAUCCCUUACACUCAUCCAAUGACUUCACUGAACACUCAUCAGAAUAUUUAAUUGUUGAUUUUAAUUUGUCCACAGCUCCUUGGAUGAUGGAUUCCUCGGACAUGAUUUCACAGGCACAGCCAUUCUCCAGGAGAAGCAGGCUGACAUCAGGGUCUCCAUGAGAGCUGUCCUUCCUGUAAAGUUUGGCUUUGUUGUUCAUUAGUGAGUAACAAUUUACAGAUACACCGUUUUCUAUUUUUGUCUGAACUUGUCUCAGCAGCUCACACUGUUCUUCUGGUCCAAUGUUGGCCAUGAUUUUCUCAGUAGCUUUCCACCUGGCAUCCUUAAAGCUGUCAGUCUCUGUUUGUGUCUGACCAUCUGCUUUAUAUACUUCAUCCACAUCCUCCUGUGAAUAAAACCCCAGCUGGGCACCAAGAACAAGUAUGUCAGCAGCUGAAACAUCUGAUUCUGAGCCAACCACUGCUUGCAUUACAGCCUUGUGGAAGUGCUGGAUCCUGGUUCCCCACCUGAUCUCCCCCGUUUCAAACAUUUCUAUUGGCUUGCAGGACGACAUCAUGGCCCAGAUGCUUGCCAGGACUUGUUCCAUGUGCCUUAGGCUGCCGGCUUGGUGUGACAGGAACGUGACCUGGACACCACUGUCCAACGUCAUGUAGUCCACCUCAUCUGCUACCACACACUCAAACCUCCUCGGACCUCGGGUAGUCUUCUUCUCAAACUCUUGCCUCAGUGUAUCUGCUGCAAACGUACCAACUGUACCAUAAACGACCUGCUGGCUGUAUGCAUCCUCAAGCAGCUUGUCAUGAUCUUUAAAAGAGCAGCUAUCGAUGUGUGGUGGAGGCACCGCGGAGGAUGUAAUACCAAACACAUCAUAUAAUUUUCUCCACUUAUCCUGAUCACGACUUGCUAACAAAGGAGAGCUUGUCACAAUGUCCACCUUUAUGCCUCGGGUGGCCUGUAUUGUAGCAAACAUGGCUAAAAUACAAGUUUUGCCCUCUCCAGUGCUGAUUUCCAGCAGACAACCUUUCUUAUCCUUAGACUGUGGCAGCAGGAGUAGCAGCAGUGAGGCCAGCUGACUGGGUCUUGGGAAGUAGCCCUGAACAUGUUCACCGCUUUGAGUGGUAAAGGCGGUGCAUUCCUUUACAGCUCUGGAUACGAUGAUCAGGACUUUCUUCAGAGCAUCAAUCUUAGGAUCGUCAAAAUCAAGAGCAGUUAUUAUCUUUUUACAGUCUUCAAUCAUCUCCCUGUUAAUGGGCACACUUCCAUAUUUGGGUAGCUCUUCUUCAAUAUAUGUCAGGACUUCUCGCAGGAGUGACGGGACACACUUUGGAAAGUUUUUGUUUUCCAUUUCAGCCAAAAGUGUGUAAGCAUCUUUGUCUCGCUCAGCUUUGUCCACACAAUGUUGGAUGUACUCUGCAGGAUCGUCUUCAUUCAGGGCAGAGAGAGCGUCGUCACAGCUCAGCCCGUACGUGCACGCUUUGUGGAGGAUUUUUGUGACUGUUUUCUGAUCCAUGCUUAAGGUCUUUCCAAGGAAAAGCUUGAUGUCUUUUGGUGCCCAGAUGUUGUUGAAGACUAUUUGACUGACAAUGUCCUUACCUGAUCGGGGUAGCUUUGAGGACAGAUCCAGAACAUUUGCUAACACCUGUUGGGCCAGUGUUGGAUUUUCAGCAUGUAGCUGUUCCUGCAAACUGAGGAGGAACUCUGUCUUCUUGUCUUGUCCAUUUUGGAGGAGAUCUUCAAAAUCAGGGUCACCCUCUAAGGUCACCUUCAGCACUGCCUCCAGGAUGUUGAACCUCUCAGUCAGAGACAGCAGCACAUAUCCAGUAGUCUGAUCCAAAGCCCACAGUAAUGAAGUGGGGACGAAGUGGGGGUGCUCAUGAAAAUAUUGUAAUGUCAGCUUAUUUUGGAGAGUCUUCAUCCUGUCUUCCAGCUGGAUGUGUAAAUGUUCAUCCUCUCUGAUGUCAUACUUUGAUAGAAGUCCUCCUGAGCAGCAGGGAAAUCAGGCUGGUUGGGUGACUGUGAAGAGGAAAUGUAGCAGCAAACUAUUUCUCCAGGCUAAAUGAUGAUCUUCUAAAUUUGUGACACACCAUUUUCUCUCCAGCUUAUGAGUUAUCUGCUUUAAGGUAAGUUUUUGAGAAUUAUACCACAGAGCCAAAUACUUCUGAUUUGAGGCUCUAUUGGUCACAGGAGCUACAGUAUCCAGAGUGACGUAGUCAGUCACUCCAGGUUUUUGUUAACUUUCUGAUUUCUUUCUGGUGUGUGAACUCUGGUCUUAUUAACUGACCACUGACUGAUACUUACCAAAGUUAGGACAACGGUCAACAACACUACCUAACAUGUUGUGGACCAGUUCAAAUUCCUUGUGGUCUUUACUCUCUCUUAUGGUGUACGAAGCGCCACCACCUGCACCAGUGAGGUCACUUUCUGAGUGAUCUCCAUAUCUAAAGGAGAGCCCCCAAAAUGGUGGUAAUGCAUGCAGGUACUCUCCUGUGCUGUUGCCACGCACUGUAUGCA